GCGGACGUGGCGGAAUUGGUAGACGCGCUAGAUUUAGGUUCUAGUUCCGCAAGGCGUGAGAGUUCGAGUCUCUCCGUCCGCA
rnacentral:tRNA from 1 species